GACGAACGCUGGCGGCGUGCUUAACACAUGCAAGUCGAACGGUGAAGCGCCUUCCUUUUUGGUGGGUGUGGAUGAGUGGCGAACGGGUGAGUAACACGUGAGUAACCUGCCCCCUUCUUCUGGAUAACCGCAUGAAAGUGUGGCUAAUACGGGAUAUUCUGGGUCUGUCGCAUGAUGGGUCUGGGAAAGAUAUUGUUUCGGUGGGGGAUGGGCUCGCGGCCUAUCAGCUUGCUGGUGGGGUGAUGGCCUACCAAGGCGGUGACGGGUAGCCGGCCUGAGAGGGUGGACGGUCACACUGGGACUGAGACACGGCCCAGACUCCUACGGGAGGCAGCAGUGGGGAAUAUUGCACAAUGGGCGCAAGCCUGAUGCAGCGACGCCGCGUGAGGGAUGGAGGCCUUCGGGUUGUGAACCUCUUUCGCCAGUGAAGCAGGCCUGCCUCGUUUGUGGGUGGGUUGACGGUAGCUGGAGAAGAAGCGCCGGCUAACUACGUG
rnacentral:rRNA from 1 species